rnacentral:lncRNA from 1 species
UCCAACAUCCAUAACAAAUGAAAAUACAAAAACCAAUAUAAAUCUCAUGUCUGGUAGUCAUGGAUACAAACCUCUGUGUAAAAGAGUAAUACAACAAAAGGUCCAUAAAAUUUUAAUGUAGCAGGAAAGUAUAGACAAGGAUGAGAGGAGAGUCCAAGUUGUGUGGAAUAAACAUCCCCUACCUCAAGAAUCUCCGCAAGUAAUCACCAGCACAACAUUGAUCAAUGCUUGAGGACCAGUAACUGUAUGUAAAGUGCAGAAAUUAACAAACACGAGUACUAAACAAUAUGUACUCAAUAGUAUCAUCGAGUGACCCUAAUUUAAUAAGAUAAUAAAAGUCAACAAACUAACCUUUGGAAACAACCAAAUAACA